AAUCAGAAGCCAAAUUGAACACAAUUUCGUGGCUGAAGAAAAAAAAUCCUAUACCAAAGACUAAAAUUUCACAUAAUACUGACUAAAUCGCUUGCCCCAACUCAAGUUUUCAUAUCAUAGUGAAAUGUAAAACCAUAAUCUUUAUUCAACUUGAAGAAUUUUUGAGGAAAACUAACCAAUGUAAACUAUAUCAUACCUUUAAUCGAUUGGACAAAGG
rnacentral:misc_RNA from 1 species